AUUGAACGCUGGCGGCAUGCUUUACACAUGCAAGUCGAACGGUAACAGGCCUUCGGGUGCUGACGAGUGGCGAACGGGUGAGUAAUGCAUCGGAACGUGCCCAGAGGUGGGGGAUAACGCAGCGAAAGCUGUGCUAAUACCGCAUGUGAUCUGAGGAUGAAAGCGGGGGACCAGGCAGCAAUGUUUGGCCUCGCGCCUUUGGAGCGGCCGAUGUCAGAGUAGGUAGUUGGUGGGGUAAAGGCCUACCAAGCCGACGAUCUGUAGCUGGUCUGAGAGGACGACCGGCCACACUGGGACUGAGACACGGCCCAGACUCCUACGGGAGGCAGCAGUGGGGAAUUUUGGACAAUGGGCGCAAGCCUGAUCCAGCAAUGCCGCGUGCGGGAAGAAGGCCUUCGGGUUGUAAACCGCUUUUGUACGGAACGAAAAGGCUCUGGCUAAUACCUGGGGCUGAUGACGGUACCGUAAGAAUAAGCACCGGCUAACUACGUG
rnacentral:rRNA from 1 species